CUGGCGGCGUGCCUAACACAUGCAAGUCGAACGGGCGAAGGGAGCUUGCUCCCGGAGCUAGUGGCGAACGGGUGAGUAACGCGUGAGCAACCUGCCUUUCAGAGGGGGACAACGGUCGGAAACGACCGCUAAUACCGCAUGAUGCAAUCGGACCGCAUGAUCUGAUUGCCAAAGAUUUAUCGCUGAAAGAUGGGCUCGCGUCUGAUUAGAUAGUUGGUGGGGUAACGGCCUACCAAGUCGACGAUCAGUAGCCGGACUGAGAGGUUGAACGGCCACAUUGGGACUGAGAUACGGCCCAGACUCCUACGGGAGGCAGCAGUGGGGAAUAUUGGGCCAAUGGGGGAAACCCUGACCCAGCAACGCCGCGUGAAGGAAGAAGGCUUUCGGGUUGUAAACUUCUUUUACCGAGGACGAAGAACGUGACGGUACUCGGAGAAAAAGCCACGGCUAACUACGUGCCAGCCGCCGC
rnacentral:rRNA from 1 species